GACGAACGCUGGCGGCGUGCCUAAUACAUGCAAGUAGAACGCUGAAGGAGGAGCUUGCUUCUCUGGAUGAGUUGCGAACGGGUGAGUAACGCGUAGGUAACCUGCCUGGUAGCGGGGGAUAACUAUUGGAAACGAUAGCUAAUACCGCAUAAUAGUAGAUGUUGCAUGACAUUUGCUUAAAAGGUGCAAUUGCAUCACUACCAGAUGGACCUGCGUUGUAUUAGCUAGUUGGUGAGGUAACGGCUCACCAAGGCAACGAUACAUAGCCGACCUGAGAGGGUGAUCGGCCACACUGGGACUGAGACACGGCCCAGACUCCUACGGGAGGCAGCAGUAGGGAAUCUUCGGCAAUGGACGGAAGUCUGACCGAGCAACGCCGCGUGAGUGAAGAAGGUUUUCGGAUCGUAAAGCUCUGUUGUAAGAGAAGAACGAGUGUGAGAGUGGAAAGUUCACACUGUGACGGUAACUUACCAGAAAGGGACGGCUAACUACGUG
rnacentral:rRNA from 1 species